UUUACACAGAUCUGUGUUAUCUGGAUUUUGCGUGUAAAUAAAUGUUAGUUGUUUUUUUGCGCUCCGGAGUUUCGGGUUGAAUUUCUGAACCAAGUGGCCAGUGUGGAAGCGGAAUGAAAGGGACUCGAUUCUGUUCUACACGUAAUAUUGGCCACAGGAUGAGAACAUUCAAAUCUCGAUCAUUUUGGACACGGACGGAGAUGAUCUGUUGCGGAGUCGUCGUUCCUCGUUCUUCUGGCAGUCCGACUCGACGUUGUCCAUCAGGUGACGAAGACAACCAACUUAUACGAAACGACGAAAUCCAGCAAGAACCGAGCUGCAGGCAAAUGUGGCACGAACAGCCAUCCUACUCGUUAGAAACGGGCUCUAUCAUUGUCUCGGCAGACGGCGGCGGCAACGAUCAACUCCUCCACGGGCUUCCCGGCGGCCGGUGACCAACGACACGCUUAUGUGCAAGUUGCAGUUCUACGACGACAAGGAGACCAGCACGUAGUCGCUGCACAAGUUUUCCGAGACGUAGGCCUGCCUGAUCGGAUCGAUGAAUACACGAAGCUGGAGAAAAGUGAACAACGUCAUUGCCGCCCUGUGUAAAUUUUGAUCCUGGAACGUAAUCCUUGACCUCGAUAUCGCUGCACCACCCUACGCGAAGCAGCCUGCUGGAACCAGAGAUCGUAACGAUUUUCCCCAAGGAACCAACAUUGAUUACCGUGACAAACUAUCUUGCACGAAGCUUUGUUUUAUAAAAUAUGAACCUGUCAUUAUAUUUUUGUAAUUAUUAUCAAAUAAUUCAAUAAAAAUGCCGUUUAGUUGUUUAUCAAUUAUUUA